GACGAACGCUGGCGGCGUGCCUAAUACAUGCAAGUAGAACGCACAGUUUAUACCGUAGCUUGCUACACCAUAGACUGUGAGUUGCGAACGGGUGAGUAACGCGUAGGUAACCUGCCUGGUAGCGGGGGAUAACUAUUGGAAACGAUAGCUAAUACCGCAUAAUAUUGAUUAUUGCAUGAUAAUUGAUUGAAAGAUGCUAUUGCAUAACUACCAGAUGGACCUGCGUUGUAUUAGCUAGUAGGUGAGGUAACGGCUCACCUAGGCGACGAUACAUAGCCGACCUGAGAGGGUGAUCGGCCACACUGGGACUGAGACACGGCCCAGACUCCUACGGGAGGCAGCAGUAGGGAAUCUUCGGCAAUAGACGAAAGUCUGACCGAGCAACGCCGCGGGAGUGAAGAAGGUUUUCGGAUCGUAAAGCUCUGUUGUAAGAGAAGAACGGGUGUGAGAGUGGAAAGUUCACACUGUGACGGUAUCUUACCAGAAAGGGACGGCUAACUACGUG
rnacentral:rRNA from 1 species